rnacentral:tRNA from 1 species
UGCCGGGGUGGUGGAAUGGCAGACACACAGGACUUAAAAUCCUGCGGGGGUUGACCCCGUGCCGGUUCGAGUCCGGCCCUCGGUAUC